CCUACGGGUGGCAGCAGUGGGGAAUAUUGCACAAUGGGGGAAACCCUGAUGCAGCGACGCCGCGUGAGCGAGGAAGUAUUUCGGUAUGUAAAGCUCUAUCAGCCGGGACGCAAAAAGACGGUACCUGACUAAGAAGCCCCGGCUAACUACGUGCCAGCAGCCGCGGUAAUACGUAGGGGGCAAGCGUUAUCCGGAUUUACUGGGUGUAAAGGGAGCGUAGACGGCAAGGCAAGCCAGAAGUGAAAGGGCAUGGCUCAACCCUGUACAUGCUUUUGGAACUGUGGUGCUAGAGUGCAGGAGAGGUAAGUGGAAUUCCUAGUGUAGCGGUGAAAUGCGGAGAUAUUAGGAGGAACACCAGUGGCGAAGGCGGCUUACUGGACUGUAACUGACGUUGAGGCUCGAAAGCGUGGGGAGCGAACAGGAUUAGAUACCCUUGUAGUC
rnacentral:rRNA from 1 species